rnacentral:lncRNA from 1 species
AGAAAGAAAAAGAAAAUAAGAGAGGAAAAGGUCCUGAGAAAUGACGGACGCUUGAACCUCGGGCCCGGGAAGACCAGCGCCCUUUGGCGGCUAGGCCUCGGGGGCGUGCGGAGGGCGGGCCCCCGCGCGGCCGCCGCUUUCCCAGGCCGCCAGGGGUGAGGAGGUGACGCUGCGGGCUUGGUGGCGGCUGGUUUUUCACACAGGAAUCCUCCUCGCCACCGCUCCCUCGAAGGCCGCCCCCCGCUCCACCCCCAGCACUGGGCGCCCGCGCCUCCCAACUCAGCCCGCCGCCGAGCAGACGGCGCGCCGCGGUAAUUGGGCACAGGGGCCUUUUUCAGAGUCGCUCAGUCGAUAAAUGAAACGUCAGCUCCCCUGUGAUCCCGCGUGUGUGGGGCGGCGGUGGCUGCGAGCCGGGGCGCAGGGCCGGCCGGCAGCCGCUGCUCUUUCACAGCCCCAGACCCUGCGCGGCCUGCCGGCGGCUGGCGACCUCCCUUCCCCUCCCGAGGCGCCCGAGCCUCUGAUCCCCUCCCGGGGCGCCUGUGGCCUCCCUUCCCCUCCCGGGGCGCCCGAGCCUCUGAUCCCCUCCCGGGGCGCCUGUGGCCUCCCUUCCCCUCCUGGGGCGCCUGUGACCUCCCGUCCCCUCCCGCGGCUCCCGCGGCCUCCGACCUCCUGCCGGGGCGCCUCAAGGGCCCCUGCCCCACAUCAGAGGGUCUUGCGGUUUCCUGGUUUGGUUCAACAUCUCUGAAACCCAGAGGUGAAGAAGAAACCAUGGAGGAGAAUCCGAAACAGUCUUCCAGAUCAGACCUCUAAAAUAACUAAAUUCUUGUUAAUCAUUAGAUUCUCCCUUUUAUUUAAUGUGUAAGUCCAAGGGGAUUCCUUCUGCUUCCCCAUUCAAUUAGACAGCAACCUCUUCCUCUAAAGUUCUCUCAUCUGAAGCCAUCUGAGCAGGAGCACUUUGACCAACUCAAUUCUGCUCUGAUCUGGACUACUUCUCCCAGUUUAGGGAUCAGUAAAUUGCCAAACACUUCCCAAUUUAUCCCUGAAGGAAUCCCUGAAAAAUGAUGGCCUUUAUUCUCCCUCAGAGAGGGAGCUUGAGCUCUUGAGAAAGACAUGAAGGCCCUUGCCGCUGUCGGCAUCACUCCUUCCUCCCUAAUCCGGUCAGUUAAUUGCUGAGUGCUCGCUUCCUGAUCUGCGUGAUGGCCUCGGAACCGGGCUGCGUGUAGACCUGGGUGACUAUCAGCUCAGCUCCCAAGUGGAGGGCCUCGGAAGACGCUCUGUGCGGCCUACUAACAAGCACGAGAACCUCAGAAUGUGACUGUAUUUGGAGAUUGUGCCCUUUAAAGAGGUGAUUGAAUUAAAACGAGCCCUUUAGUUGGGUCAUAAUACAAUGUGACUAGAGUUCUUACAAGAAGAGGAAAUUUGGUCUCACAAAAGACACCAGAGGUACACGCAGAGAAAAGGCCAUGAGAAGACACAGCGGGAAGAUAGCCAUCUGCAAGCCAAGGAGAGAGGCCUCCAGAGACACCAAAACCUGCCGACACCUUCAUCUUGGACUUCAUGCCCCCAAAACUGUGAGAAAAUAAAUUUCUGUUGUUUAAGC